rnacentral:rRNA from 1 species
GAUGAACGCUGGCGGCGUGCCUAAUACAUGCAAGUCGAGCGAACAGACGAGGAGCUUGCUCCUCUGACGUUAGCGGCGGACGGGUGAGUAACACGUGGAUAACCUACCUAUCAGACUGGGAUAACUUCGGGAAACCGGAGCCAAUACCGGAUAAUAUAUUUAACCGCAUGGUUCAAUAGUUAAAGACGGUUUUGCUGUCACUUAUAGAUGGAUCCGCGCCGCAUUAGCUAGUUGGUAAGGUAACGGCUUACCAAGGCGACAAUGCGUAGCCGACCUGAGAGGGUGAUCGGCCACAUUGGAACGGAGACACGGUCAAGACUCCUACGGGAGGCAGCAGUAGGGAAUCUUCCGCAAUGGGCGAAAGCCUGACGGAGCAAGGCCGCGUGAGUGAUGAAGGUCUUCGGAUCGUAAAACUCUGUUAUUAGGGAAGAACAAAUGUGUAAGUAACUAUGCACGUCUUGACGGUACCUAAUCAGAAAGCCACGGCUAACUACGUG